AGAAACCAAGAAAUAGUUGUCGUCUGUUGGUGCCUGGGACCGGUGGCUGUGCUGGUCUGGAGCAGAGGCUGGCUACAUUGGGUCAGUCAGUCUUGCUCCAGUAAAUAAGCAGUUGCCAGGCACGGUGGGGUGGGGUUUGGUAUAAGCAUGUCCUGAUUCCCCUGGGGGCCACUGUCAAUCUCUCCUUCCUGGACUGGGGCUCUCAACCCACGCUAUUCAGCAGCUCUUCACAGAGUUGUGAGGAUGGUCAGCUUGCCCUGUGCCCCAAUUCUCCUGCAUCUUCGACUUGGCUCUUGGCUGGAAUUCAAAAACUAAUGUCUUCAAGGAUUGGUACCAUGUGGAUCCAAGAGUAGAGCCUCUCCACCUUGCUGAUGAAAAGCCUUUGGCUGGCAUCUGCAGGGUCUUUUGUCCUUGGGAAGCAAUAACCCCUCUUCCCAAAGCACUCUAGGAAGUUCUCUCCCAGUGUCCUCCAGAGAUCACUAUCCCUUGCUAUGCACUCUGGGGCCGGCUCCCUCCUUCCCAGAAGCACAGGCCAUGGCUCUGCUCUGGAGAAAGUUAAGCACUUUCAAAGCCUCUGAGUUUCAGCUCCAAAGGCUGAUUACAAAAAGAACCCACACUCUCUAUUUCUUGCUCCCCAUUCCGUAGUCCAGAGAGGUUUCCUCUUGUGCUAACUGGAAGCUGCCCUUUCACAGCCCCUCUCUCUGGUCCCUUUUGUCUCUGCACAGAAGGGGUUCCCUCCACUCCGUGGCUGUGCCAGCUUAUCUCCCCAAAUGACAUAUAUGUGCCUCAAUCCUGCCAGGCUGUCUCCUUCCAACUGUGGAGAUCAUUCUGCCGAUCCACCGAUCGAUUUCCUGAGUGUUGUAAGUAAUCUGACCUCAAUACAGCUGUAUUUGAGAGAAGGAACAUCCCAGUCCCCCUACUUCUCCACUGUCUUAACUCCUCCUGGAUGUAAUUCUUAGCUGUGUUCUGCUGUAGGUAGGAUGGUUUUUGCCCCUGACCUUCUUUCAGGAUUUUGUCUUAUUUUUUGAUAGUCUGCAGUUUGAAUAUGAUAUGCCUAGUGUAGUGUUUUGGGCAUUUAUUGAAUGCUUGGUGUUUUCUGAGAUAUCUGUUUGGUGUCUGACAUUAAUUUGGGGAGAUCCUCAGUUGUUAUUGUUCCCAUGUUUCUUCUGGUCCCCUCUCCUUCUGGUCUUCCCAUUACAUGUAUGUUACGUGUUUUGUAGUCCUCCUACAGAACUGGGUAUUCUGAUACUUUUUUUUCAGCCUUUGUUCUCUUUGCUUUUUGUUUUUGAUGAUUCUGUUAUAUAUUUUCUAGCUCAUAGAUUCUUUCUUCAGCUGUGUCCAGUCUACCAAUGAGUCUAUCAAAGACAUUUUUCAUUUCUGUUAUAGUGAUGUGUGUAUACAGCAUUUCUUUUGUGGUUCUUUCUUAGGAUUUCUACCUCUUUGCUUACAUUGCCCGCCUACCCCUGCAUGCUUUCUACUUCAUCCCUUAGGACCCGUAGCAUAUUAAUUAUAGUUGUUGUAAAUUCCUGUUCUGACAAUUCCAAUAUCCUUCCCUGUCUUGUUCUGAUGCUGCUCUGCAUCUUUAGAUUGUGUUUUUUGCCUUUUAGUAUGCCUUAUAACUUUUCUUGGUUGCUGAAAAUGAUGCAUCAGGUAAAAGGAACUGCAGUAAAUAGGCCUUUGGGGAUGUGGCGGUGAGGGGAGGGGGAGGGGAUGUAUUCCACAGCCUACUGUCAGGUCUUAGUCAUCAGUGGGCCUGUACCUCAGGACUGUGACUGUCACAAGGUUUUCUAAGCUCUCCCCCUCCCCCAGUUGGGACGGGUUGUCUAAAGGGGGCUGGAGUUGGUUAUUUCUCUUCCUGGGUCAGUGAAACUCUGGGUAAUGAGGUAUCGCUUAGGGCAGGUCCUUUUAAGAAAACAGUGCUCUGGUGUGUUUCACACGAUUUUUCCCCCUCCCCUUUUCCUUUUUUUUCUCUGAUAUUUACUGUGGGAAUCUGGCCAAGGCCCUGGAGUCCGACCUCACGACACUUCAGGGACACACCUGUGAGUAGGUGUGUUGCCUGUACUGCCCAGUUCAGGUUUCCUCCCCCUUCAGCUCGUGGGUCUGCUCCUGCAAGCCGGGCUCUGUGUCAGCCUGUCUGCCUCUCAGCCUUGGGGACACAACUUUCCCUCUGCCCUUCACUCUCUCGAGGAUCAAGAAUGGUGCAGAGGCCUUCUGGUUUGAGUUCUGCACGUAAGGGCCUAGGAGGUAACCACUUCCACCCAAAAGCAAGACAAAGCUGAACAGAGUGAAAAAGCAAACGGUUUGUCAAUUGUGUUGAUCUUUCUAAGACCCAACUUGGUUUUAUGGAUUUUCCCUAUUGUUUUUCUAUUCUUUAUGCAGUUUAUCUUUAAUCCAUAUUAUUUCUGUCUUUCUGCUAGCAUUGAUUUUAGUGUGUUCUUGUUUGUCUAGGUCCUUAAGGUAUAGAUAUAGGUUGCUGAUUUGAAGUCCUUUUUUUAUGGAAGUGUUUACAGCUAUAUAUUUCCCUCUGUAAUUAGUCUUUCAGUGUCCCAUAAGUUAUGGUAUGUGGUCUACUUUAUCUCUCUAUCUAUCUAUCUAUCUAUUUAAUUAUUUAUUUACUUAUUUUGGUGUCAAGAUAUUUUCUAAUCUCUCAGUGGUUUCUUUGACCCAUUGAUGGUUUAAUUUCCACAUACUUAUGGAUUUUCCGAUUAUCCUUCUGGUAUAGAUUUCUAGUUUCAUCACACAUAAUGAGAAAAGACACCCUGUAUGAUUUCAAACUACUUAAGUUGUAUGAUUUCACUAUUUUAAAAUUAUUCAGACUUAUUUUGUGAUGUAACAUGCAGUCUCUCUUCUUGAGAAAAAUGGGUAUUCUGCUAUUGUUGGGCAUGUUCUUGUGUCUGUUCUAUCCAACUGGCCCACAGUGUUGUUGAAGGUCCUCUGCUUCCUUAUUGAUGGACUGUCUGGUUGUUCUUCCCUUUACUGAAAGUGAGGUAUUGGCGACGACAAUGACUAUUGCUAGAUCGGUGCGUUUCUCCCUUGAACUCUGCCAAUGUUUGCUUCAUAUGUAUAGGAACUCUGAUGAUAGUGCAUAUGGCUAUGCAUAAUGUUAUAUCUUCUUGGCCAGUUGACUCUUGUAUCAUUCUAGAAUGUUCUCCUCUGUCUCUUAUAACAAUAUUUGACAUAGUGCCUAUGUUGUCACUUAUUAGUAUAGCCGCACUUGCUCUCCCUGGGGCACUAUUUGCCCCAGGUGUCUUUUCACCAUGCUUUCACUGUCAGUCUGUAUGUCCUUAGAUCUGAUGUGAGUUUCUUGCGGACAACGUGGAGCUGGAUCCAUUAGAUUGUGAAGUUUCACCCAUUUACACUGAAGUGAUCCCUGAUAGGGAGGACUUACCACAGCUGCUUUGUUCAUUGUGUUUCUGUAUGUCUUCUCACUUUUCUGGCCUUCCCUUCCUGUCUUACUGCCCUCCUUUGUAUUUACCUGACAUUUUUUGUAGUGACAUGCCAUAAUGCCCUUUUGUUUCCUUUUGUGUUGAUCUUACACACAAUUAUUGUGUGUGUGCUUACCACGGGCAUUACAUAAAAUAUCUUAAAGUUACAACAACCAAAACAAUAUCAGCUCCCGUUGGCCGUCCAUGGGGAAAAAUGCUCUGGCAUCUGCUUUAAUUCUCAGACCUGCAGUUUCCUCAACAUUUGUGGGUAACUCCCAUGCCUUGGGUUAUGGAAGGUUCAAGGAAAGUGGUAUCCUCGAGACAUGGAAGGAAAAUGAGCUCCUGGAGUGUAGUGAGGAAAAGUGAAUGCCUGAGGGUGGUACUGAGGAAGGACUAUUUCACGGAGAAGAGCACCACCCACGGGGAGCACUGUCCCUGGAGAAGAGCACCACCCAGGGAGAGCACUGUCCCUGGGGCAUGGUCUGCUCAGGCAGCUAGAAUUAGACAAGGCAUGCAUGGGGCAGGGCAUCAACGUGGCUUGGGAGCUGCUGCAAAUUAGCACAGGUACUAGAGAGUUACUUUAUAAGAAGCAUACAACUUGCUCUCAGGACAGAUUUAGUAACAACUAAAAUAUAUCGUUAAUUGGAGAGGAGGGCUGUGAGGUUGUGCAAGGGUGAACUAAGAGGAAGCAGAUGAUCUGUGUCCUCACUGGCCCAGAGCAGAGCCGACCCACUUCAAGGUGCUGCAGCCCCACUGGGGAAGGAGUCCCGUUAUCCCCAAGAAACUGGGGGAAAAUGACUGGACAGGCCCGAUUCAGAAAUCACAAGUGUUCCCACUGGGAGUGAGGCCAUCCGCUGGGGGGAUUUCCUGCCUCAGAGAUGAUCAUGUACGAAAACGAAGGAUUUUGAUUAGAUGUAGCAUGCUCCAUCAAAGGACCAGGGAGGAGUGAGAGUGAGAAAGACUCUGUGUGUGUUGUAAGUGCACAAGCAUUUGCGUGUUGUGUGUGUGAGAGAGAGAGAUGAACCAGGCAUGUACGUGUGUAGGACAUGAAGCACAUACUGUGUGGCAUGCAGGCGUCUGUACAGAUGUUGUGAUGGGAAGCAGGGGUGUGUGCAGGUGGGAGUGUGGGGCCAGGCUGAUGGGCCAGGUGCUGUCUAAAGGCUCCUGACAAUUGGACCCAGGUGGAGUCUUGAGCCUUUGGCUCUUACCUGCAUGGCCUUGGAGACCCGAGCUGCAGUGUGGUAGAAGUCGAUUGGUGACCCCGGAGAGCCCGGAUGGGAGUGGGUCACAGAAGACCGCCACAUGGGAGGUGGACCCACCAGGCCAUUGUGGCCUGAGGACCCAUUGGGGCCAGCUGACCCUGGGCCCUCAUGCAAUCCCUGGCUUACCUGCCAACUUAUGCAUGUGAAUUUUCUGCUGACACUUUCCCAAGGGAAGGGCCUAUGGACUUUCCCUAGCUACUAGUGAUUUCUCUUAGGGACUGUGGUCUGAAGUGAGGCUAACCGGCUGGCAUUGUGCUGUCCACGCUGGGCACACCAGGCAUUCCUGGCACACAUGCUUCGCUUUGACUGGGGUCAGUUAUGACCUGAUGUGAUUUCUCAGGAGUCCAGACAUCCUGGCUCAGGACUCCCAUCUGAAGGAAGCUUUCCGCAGCUGAAGCAGAACCGCCGGGUGCUCAAGCCGCUGGCGGAAGGUCUGGAACGGAGCUCCGGGGACCGGGGCCGCGCAGACGGAGCGGGCUUCAUCUCCUCCUCCGACCCAGGGACGUGCCCACGACGGAGCGCUCUCAGCCAGCUUGCCGGGUCCUCCAACUCUAUCAUGGUGCAGAGCGGGGCGAGGGGCUCAGGGUCAGCCUGCCGCCUCCUGUGGGCGGUCCCCGGGCGCCCUCCCGGUCCGGGCGGGGCCUCCUGCGCCCCCGUCGAGAGUCGCGGUUCAUCCAUGUCCUGUGGGAGAGAAAAGGAGACGCGCUCAAAGUCGUCCGCAGCAGGCUGUGGAGGCAGGUGCUAAGUGUCCCGCCGCUUAAAUUGCUUGGCUCGGGACCACUUCCUAGCACAGCAACGUGUUGGUGCAAGUGAGAGCGGGUUAGGAAACCAGCACCGACCGCGCCGCUUUACUCAACAGAGGUACACGCACCCCUCCGAAUUCCCUCGCACCCUCGACACUGGACGCCGAGCACCCCGGGCCCCCGUGGACCCCUGUCCCAUUCUGCCGGCACCUCCCGCGGCAGGAGCCGCGCGGCGCACCUGCACCUGCCAGGCUCGCCUCAGCUUCCAGCACACGCCAGCGGAUGGGGCCGUCAGCCGCGGUUUUGCAAAUCCUCUCAGAGUCCUUGACGGUUCUUUCUGCCAAGCGCAAAUAUUGAUCUAUAGUCCACUUGUAUUUGCAGAGUGCGCACGGGUCAGGGCAGAGGACGCCCCCACCGCGGCCUUGAGAGAGCAGCCCUGUCCACGUGCCCAGGUCCCAGGCGCAGAAACACGGAACUGUCUCUAAGUUUCCGUGUGAGGUCCCUAAAUCAUGCCAACGCUUUUUUUUUUUUUUUUUUUUUUUUUUUUUUUUUUUUUUUUUUUUAGCGGGGCAGAAGAUGAAAAGCAGGGAAUUUCUGUUGUGGAAAGAAAAGUAAACUUGUUCCAAAACAGAUGUACUGGAGUUAUUUUACAGGGCAAUGGAUAUGGCGACAUCACCCAAAGUCAAGUGGGGGAAAAGAGGAACCGAGGGCGGAGGCUGGACCACACUGUGACCUCCACACAGCACCGAGGCCCCGCUGGGCGGGACACUGCUCUCCUGACCGGAAUCGCCAACAAGUCCCACCUGAGGGCAGCAGGGGAGGUCGCUACACAGUUUCCUCUGUGUGAGCCCAGUGCGGUUCACCUGCCUGGGGAGGGAAGGAGGGAAGUAACACCACUCCCUCCUCUCCCUGAACUUCUGACCAGUGUCCACAUAAGCGGUGGUCAGGGGGCCUCAAAGUCUGUCCCUGGCAGGCACCUGAGGACAGUGAUGCCCGCCUGCCCCCCCUGCUGCUGCCAAGUGCCUUUGGGGAGAAGUUUGCCAUCAAGGGCGGCCUCCUGCAUCUGCACUGACCCAGGAAAGAGAGCAGGGCCCAGGUUUCCUGGAAAACAUACUUAGUUCUGCUUCUUGGGAUGAAGGGAUAGGCCUGAGGCCAAUGGUCCAGUCUACCUAGUGCAGGGGCAGCCUUCCAGAGGAGCACCUCCAUUAGCUGUGCAGCUGCCUCGCUUCAAACCCAUGCUUCCAAAUUCACUAAUGGUGUAGCCCUGAGCAAGCUACUGGAUCACUCUCUGCCUCUGUUGGACAUCUGUGAAAGGACAAUAGCAGCUGCCUGCCAGAAUUAUUGUGUGAUCAAUGAGAGGAUUGAGAAAAACUCUGAACACGGUCCACAAAGACAACAUGGAGGCUCCUGGGAGCCACACUCUGUUUUGUGCCCUGAAGAUUUCCCUUUUGGUUAGAAUGGUAUUUGGCACAGAGUAGGGACCUGAUACAUACCUGUUGAAUAAAUGACCAGUAUUCCCCUUUUCCUCUGGUUUAAGCAGGCACCUGCUUCAGCUGGAGUCAGAGCACCUCCAGAAAGCCCAACUUGGAGAAGCUCUAAUUGCCGGUGCCACACGGCAAGGAACUGCCGUAAGAUUUCCCAUUGUACAGAGUGGCUUUUGAUGAACCAGUACAAGGUUGGAGAGCACCUUUCAAGGACAGAGCCUUGGACUGUUACUCUGUACCAGGGCCCCAUGAGUGUGUUCUCACACUGUGGGCUCCAAGGUUCCAUGUGCACAAGUACCGUUCACAUAGAGACACUCUAUUAUUUUGAAAGCAUUUCAGAUGCCAUCCUCACUUGGACUCCAGAGGUGGACGACACUUCAGUAAAAAGAGGGGGGCUUCAGGACAACCCCUGAUAUUAUCCCAUAAUGCAUGCUGUCUGAUGGGAGCCAGUUCCUGCCAACCCAGACUCAGCAUCAUUCGUUGUCUGUGUGUGUCGGUGGUCAACAGCGGGGGCUGGGCUGCUGCAGGGGACUGGAGCCAGCCCCUGAUGCACAGCCAAAGGGCAGGCAGGAGCUGAGUCCUGAGGUUUCUUCACAAGAUGCUGGAGCUGCUCUGUUGAAAGCAUCUUUUCAAGGAAUAUCUAUCUAUUAAUCACCUAGCUAUGAAGAAAAUCCAGAAAGGGGCACCUGGGUGGCUCAGUGGGUUAAGCGUCCAAGUCUUGAUUUUGGCUCAGGUCAUGAUCUCAAGGUUCAUGAGUUCCAGCCCCAUGUCAGGCUAUGUGCUGACAUCCCAGAGCCCGCUAGGGAUUCUCUGUUUCCCUCUAGUUGUGGUCUUCCCAUGCUCUCUGUCUCAAAAUAAAUACACAUAAAAUAAAACAAAGAAAAUCCAGAAAGCUAUUCCAACAAAUCUGUGCUAAGCAAUACAGCAAAAACAGAAGCUAUUAAAAAAAAGAUAGACAUA